GGGUUGUGAGGUUAAGCGACUAAGCGUACACGGUGGAUGCCCUGGCAGUCAGAGGCGAUGAAGGACGUGCUAAUCUGCGAUAAGCGCCGGUAAGGUGAUAUGAACCGUUAUAACCGGCGAUUUCCGAAUGGGGAAACCCAGUGUGACUCGUCACACUAUCAUUAACUGAAUCCAUAGGUUAAUGAGGCGAACCGGGGGAACUGAAACAUCUAAGUACCCCGAGGAAAAGAAAUCAACCGAGAUUCCCCCAGUAGCGGCGAGCGAACGGGGAGGAGCCCAGAGCCUGAAUCAGCAUGUGUGUUAGUGGAAGCGUCUGGAAAGGCGCGCGAUACAGGGUGACAGCCCCGUACACAAAAGCGCAUGUGCUGUGAGCUCGAUGAGUAGGGCGGGACACGUGGUAUCCUGUCUGAAUAUGGGGGGACCAUCCUCCAAGGCUAAAUACUCCUGACUGACCGAUAGUGAACCAGUACCGUGAGGGAAAGGCGAAAAGAACCCCGGCGAGGGGAGUGAAAAAGAACCUGAAACCGUGUACGUACAAGCAGUGGGAGCACAGGUUUACCUGUGUGACUGCGUACCUUUUGUAUAAUGGGUCAGCGACUUAUAUUCUGUAGCAAGGUUAACCGAAUAGGGGAGCCGGAGGGAAACCGAGUCUUAACCGGGCGUUAAGUUGCAGGGUAUAGACCCGAAACCCGGUGAUCUAGCCAUGGGCAGGUUGAAGGUUGGGUAACACUAACUGGAGGACCGAACCGACUAAUGUUGAAAAAUUAGCGGAUGACCUGUGGCUGGGGGUGAAAGGCCAAUCAAACCGGGAGAUAGCUGGUUCUCCCCGAAAGCUAUUUAGGUAGCGCCUCGUGAAUUCAUCUCCGGGGGUAGAGCACUGUUUCGGCUAGGGGGCCAUCCCGGCUUACCAACCCGAUGCAAACUGCGAAUACCGGAGAAUGUUAUCACGGGAGACACACGGCGGGUGCUAACGUCCGUCGUGAAGAGGGAAACAACCCAGACCGCCAGCUAAGGUCCCAAAGUCAUGGUUAAGUGGGAAACGAUGUGGGAAGGCCCAGACAGCCAGGAUGUUGGCUUAGAAGCAGCCAUCAUUUAAAGAAAGCGUAAUAGCUCACUGGUCGAGUCGGCCUGCGCGGAAGAUGUAACGGGGCUAAACCAUGCACCGAAGCUGCGGCAGCGAACGUAUCACUUAAAGCGAUUCAGCGGGUUACGAUUGACGGAGCGAAGCGACGUCAAAGCGUAUACAAAGUCGAGUCGGUUUAAGGAUACGUUCGUUGGGUAGGGGAGCGUUCUGUAAGCCUGUGAAGGUGUGUCGUGAGGCAUGCUGGAGGUAUCAGAAGUGCGAAUGCUGACAUAAGUAACGAUAAAGCGGGUGAAAAGCCCGCUCGCCGGAAGACCAAGGGUUCCUGUCCAACGUUAAUCGGGGCAGGGUGAGUCGACCCCUAAGGCGAGGCCGAAAGGCGUAGUCGAUGGGAAACGGGUUAAUAUUCCCGUACUUGGUGUUACUGCGAAGGGGGGACGGAGAAGGCUAUGUUGGCCGGGCGACGGUUGUCCCGGUUUAAGCGUGUAGGUGUGUGUUCCAGGUAAAUCCGGUUCACUUUAACACUGAGGCGUGAUGACGAGGCACUACGGUGCUGAAGCAACAAAUGCCCUGCUUCCAGGAAAAGCCUCUAAGCAUCAGGUAACAUCAAAUCGUACCCCAAACCGACACAGGUGGUCAGGUAGAGAAUACCAAGGCGCUUGAGAGAACUCGGGUGAAGGAACUAGGCAAAAUGGUGCCGUAACUUCGGGAGAAGGCACGCUGACAUGUAGGUGAAGUGAUUUACUCAUGGAGCUGAAGUCAGUCGAAGAUACCAGCUGGCUGCAACUGUUUAUUAAAAACACAGCACUGUGCAAACACGAAAGUGGACGUAUACGGUGUGACGCCUGCCCGGUGCCGGAAGGUUAAUUGAUGGGGUCAGCGCAAGCGAAGCUCCUGAUCGAAGCCCCGGUAAACGGCGGCCGUAACUAUAACGGUCCUAAGGUAGCGAAAUUCCUUGUCGGGUAAGUUCCGACCUGCACGAAUGGCGUAAUGAUGGCCAGGCUGUCUCCACCCGAGACUCAGUGAAAUUGAACUCGCUGUGAAGAUGCAGUGUACCCGCGGCAAGACGGAAAGACCCCGUGAACCUUUACUAUAGCUUGACACUGAACAUUGAGCCUUGAUGUGUAGGAUAGGUGGGAGGCUUUGAAGCGUGGACGCCAGUCUGCGUGGAGCCGACCUUGAAAUACCACCCUUUAAUGUUUGAUGUUCUAACGUGGACCCGUAAUCCGGGUUGCGGACAGUGUCUGGUGGGUAGUUUGACUGGGGCGGUCUCCUCCUAAAGAGUAACGGAGGAGCACGAAGGUUGGCUAAUCCUGGUCGGACAUCAGGAGGUUAGUGCAAUGGCAUAAGCCAGCUUGACUGCGAGCGUGACGGCGCGAGCAGGUGCGAAAGCAGGUCAUAGUGAUCCGGUGGUUCUGAAUGGAAGGGCCAUCGCUCAACGGAUAAAAGGUACUCCGGGGAUAACAGGCUGAUACCGCCCAAGAGUUCAUAUCGACGGCGGUGUUUGGCACCUCGAUGUCGGCUCAUCACAUCCUGGGGCUGAAGUAGGUCCCAAGGGUAUGGCUGUUCGCCAUUUAAAGUGGUACGCGAGCUGGGUUUAGAACGUCGUGAGACAGUUCGGUCCCUAUCUGCCGUGGGCGCUGGAGAACUGAGGGGGCUGCUCCUAGUACGAGAGGACCGGAGUGGACGCAUCACUGGUGUUCGGGUUGUCAUGCCAAUGGCACUGCCCGGUAGCUAAAUGCGGAAGAGAUAAGUGCUGAAAGCAUCUAAGCACGAAACUUGCCCCGAGAUGAGUUCUCCCUGAGACUUAGAGUCUCCUGAAGGAACGUUGAAGACGACGACGUUGAUAGGCCGGGUGUGUAAGCGCAGCGAUGCGUUGAGCUAACCGGUACUAAUGAACCGUGAGGCUUAACCUUACAACGCCGAAG
rnacentral:rRNA from 1 species